AUUGAACGCUGGCGGCAUGCCUUACACAUGCAAGUCGAACGGUAACAGGUCUUCGGAUGCUGACGAGUGGCGAACGGGUGAGUAAUACAUCGGAACGUGCCCGAUCGUGGGGGAUAACGAAGCGAAAGCUUUGCUAAUACCGCAUACGAUCUACGGAUGAAAGCAGGGGACCGCAAGGCCUUGCGCGAACGGAGCGGCCGAUGGCAGAUUAGGUAGUUGGUGGGAUAAGAGCUUACCAAGCCGACGAUAUGUAGCUGGUGUGAGAGGACGACCGACCACACUGGGACUAGGACACGGCCCAGACUCCUACGGGAGGCAGCAGUGAGGAAUUUUGGACAAUGGGCGAAAGCCUGAUCCAGCCAUGCCGCGUGCAGGAUGAGGGCCUUCGGGUUGUAAACUGCUUUUGUACGGAACGAAAAGACUCUGGUUAAUACCUGGGGUCCAUGACGGUACCGUAAGAAUAAGCACCGGCUAACUACGUGCCAGCCGCCGCAGUAAAAC
rnacentral:rRNA from 1 species